ensembl:lincRNA
ACAGUGGAAGGUCAGAAUGGGGAAGGCACUACUGAAGAUCUGAGCUCCGCCAACCCCAAGUGCUUGAAUCUGAGAGAGGCAAAGGAGGACCAAGGCACAGAGCAGAUGGCUGAGCUUUUCAAGACAUGCAACCAGCACCUAUCUCUGUGGACGAAAUGAUCCGCUAAAUGCCUGUCUUGCUCUCUGGGAGUAUUUCCCUCACAGGAGAGCACGCCUGUGCAAAUGGUUCACUUGCAUCUACUCUAGGCAUGCUUUGCUCUCCAUGACGCAGUGAUGAAGAAAGGCUUGGUGUUCCUGUUCCCCACUGCGUGGAGAAGACGGGGAAAUAAGGAGAAGAAGGGGACCUGGCUGAUUUGAAAUUAAUAACAUCAAAAAUGCGCUUGGAGGGGGAAGAUUUUCAUUCUUUGUGAUGUCCGUAUAUGGAAUACUAUUAAAGGGGUGAAUGCAAUUCUGAGAAUUCCUACGGCUGCGUUAGUUCUGUUAGACAACUCUUGCUUCUGCUAAUCAUACUCAGAGCCCUUUGGGAGAACUAAUUUCUCUCUCUCUCUCUCUUCCUUGACCAGUACAUCUUAGCCUUCAUUGUUAUAGCUCCAUUUGUUCACGUAAAUGGGUUGGUUGAUCCUUCCUUUUACAAACUGCAGUACUCCUCUAGUUGUCAUUUGGAGAGAAGGUAUUCUUGUUCACUCUACCGUUGAUUAUACAUUGAGUUAUGGUAACUUUGUUAUGAAGACUCAAGAGACAUGCUAGCUCUCCACCUCUUUGAGAGAAAGCUGCACAGAGUUACACAGCCAAGAGGAGAGGGGAAGAGCGCCUUCCAGACCUGGCCUGUAUGCCCUCCUGGCUUCACCUCACUAGAUCCGUAAUUCCUCAAAGGCUAAAACUUUAUUUUUAAGAUUUUAUUUAUUUUAUGUGAGUACACUGUAGCUGUCCUCAGACACACCAGAAGAGGACAUCUGAUCCCAUUACAGAUGGUUGUGUGCCACCAUAUAGUUGCUGGGAAUUGAACUCAGGACCUCUGGAAGAGCAAUCAGUGCUCUUAACCAGUGAACCAUCUCUCCAGUCCGCUAAAACUUUUUUAAAAAUUCAUUCCAUUACCCUUCCUACAAAAGGGGUUGGCGGCAGGGCUACUGUCUUGGAGUAUUUUAAUGAUUCAGUGACAUGGCAGAGGUUUUCAAAAAAAAACUCCCAAUCCAUGCUGUCCAACAGAAAUGUAAUGCAAGCCACGUCUGUAAUUUUAAACUUGCAAGUAACCCCACUUCUAAAAGGCAGAAAAGAAGCUGGGGAAAUUAAUUAUAAUAACACAUUUUCUUUAAUCUGAUGUAUCCAAAAUAUUAUCCUUUCAAGACCUAGUCACCAAAUCUAUGUUGAUGGAAUAUUUUACAUUUAUUUUAUUUCCUACUAAGUUUCUAAAAUCCAAUGUGGAUUUUACACACUGAGGCAGUGCACUUUCACAAGAAAUACUAACUUUAUAUUUAGCUUUGUCAAGACUUGCAGUUGAAAAGAAAAUAGAUUCACAUAUAUAAGUUGUGCCAAAAGUACUUAAAUAUUUCCUAAAAUCUGAAUUAAGUAUAAGUGUUUUAAAUUUAAAAUAAUUAAGAUGAAGUAAACUUAGAAAG